ACGGGGGCCCGCACAAGCGGUGGAGCAUGUGGUUUAAUUCGAUGCAACGCGAAGAACCUUACCUGGUCUUGACAUCCACAGAACUUUCCAGAGAUGGAUUGGUGCCUUCGGGAACUGUGAGACAGGUGCUGCAUGGCUGUCGUCAGCUCGUGUUGUGAAAUGUUGGGUUAAGUCCCGCAACGAGCGCAACCCUUAUCCUUUGUUGCCAGCGGUCCGGCCGGGAACUCAAAGGAGACUGCCAGUGAUAAACUGGAGGAAGGUGGGGAUGACGUCAAGUCAUCAUGGCCCUUACGACCAGGGCUACACACGUGCUACAAUGGCGCAUACAAAGAGAAGCGACCUCGCGAGAGCAAGCGGACCUCAUAAAGUGCGUCGUAGUCCGGAUUGGAGUCUGCAACUCGACUCCAUGAAGUCGGAAUCGCUAGUAAUCGUGGAUCAGAAUGCCACGGUGAAUACGUUCCCGGGCCUUGUACACACC
rnacentral:rRNA from 1 species